CCCUAGAUAGGAAGGUCUGGAGGACGCGAAUUAGGGCAGAGGACUAGGGCCAGUUUGAGUCGCUAGUGUAGGGAAUUACUUGGUGGGGGUUUAUUCUUGUUAGGAGUCCGUGUUCCAUGUUUUAUUAUGAAUCUGUGUGCUUUCCUCUGUUUUAUAUUACUUAUGGGUGCCGUAUUGAUGUUAUGUAAUCUUGUGCUGUGCUUUACUAUAUGUUUGUGUGGUAUCUCGUGUCUUGAGCCGGGGGUCUAUCGGAAACAGCCUUUCUACUUCUUCAGAGGUAGAGGUAUGGACUGCGUACAUCUUACCCCCAGACCCCACUAGGUGGGAAUACACUGGGUUUGUUGUUGUUGUUGUUGUUG
rnacentral:lncRNA from 1 species